GGGACACCGGGGGACAUUGGGGGGCUGGCACAGUGUCACCGUCACCCGCUGAGUGCCGGGGGGACAUCGGGGGGCACUGGGGGCAUUGGGGGGCUGGCACAGUGUCACCGUCACCCGCUGAGUGCCUGGGGACACCGGGGGCACCAGGGAGCCCAAAGGGUUCCCCAGAUCCCAGAGGGUUCCAUGGAUCCCGAAGGGUUCUGUGGACCCCAAAGGGAUCCAGGGAGCUCAAUGGGAUCUGUGGAUCCCAAAGGUUCCGUGGAUCCCAGAGGGUUCUGGACAUCCCAGAGGGUUCUAGAUGACCCAAAGGGUUCUGGACACCCCAAAGGGAUCCACAGAGCUCAAUGGGAUCCGUGGAUCCCAAAGGUUCCGUGGAUCCCAGAGGGUUCUGGACACCCCGAAGGGAUCCACGGAGCUCAACGGGUUCCAUGGACCCCAAAGGGUUCUGUGGGAUCUGGGUUCUGUUGGACCCCAAAAGGUUCCGUGGAGCUCAGUGGGAUCCGUGGUCCCCGAUGGGUUCUGGGGACCCCAAAGGGUUUGAGGGCCCCUGAAGGGUUCCAGGGACCCCCCGCGUCCUGUGGACCCCAAAGGCUUCUCCAGAGCCCCAGGUUCUGCUCAGCCCCAAAGUGUUCCAGAGACCCCAAAAGGAUUUUAUGGACCCCAAAAGGAUUUUAUGGACCCCAAAGUGUUCCAGAGACCCCAAAAGGAUUUUAUGGAUCCCCCAAAGUGUUCCAGAGACCCCAAAAGGAUUUUAUGGACCCCAAAAGGAUUUUAUGGAUCCCCCAAAGUGUUCCAGAGACCCCAAAAGGAUUUUAUGGGCCCCAAAAGGAUUUUAUGGACCCCAAAGUGUUCCAGAGACCCCAAAAGAAUUUUAUGGACCUCAAAAGGAUUUUAUGGAUCCCCCAAAGUGUUCCAGAGACCCCAAAAGGAUUUUAUGGAUCCCCCAAAGUGUUCCAGAGACCCCAAAAGAAUUUUAUGGACCCCAAAGUGUUCAACAGACCCCAAAAGAAUUUUAUGGACCCCAAAAGGAUUUUAUGGACCCCAAAGUGUUCCACAGACCCCAAAAGGAUUUUAUGGACCCCAAAAGGAUUUUAUGGAUCCCCCAAAGUGUUCCAGAGACCCCAAAAGAAUUUUAUGGACCCCAAAAGGAUUUUAUGGAUCCCCCAAAGUGUUCCAGAGACCCCAAAAGGAUUUUAUGGACCCCAAAAGGAUUUUAUGGACCCCAAAGUGUUCCAGAGACCCCAAAAGAAUUUUAUGGGCCCCAAAGUGUUCCAGAGACCCCAAAAGGAUUUUAUGGAUCCCCCAAAGUGUUCCAGAGACCCCAAAAGGAUUUUAUGGACCCCAAAAGGAUUUUAUGGAUCCCCCAAAGUGUUCCAGAGACCCCAAAAGGAUUUUAUGGGCCCCAAAAGGAUUUUAUGGACCCCAAAGUGUUCCAGAGACCCCAAAAGAAUUUUAUGGACCUCAAAAGGAUUUUAUGGAUCCCCCAAAGUGUUCCAGAGACCCCAAAAGGAUUUUAUGGAUCCCCCAAAGUGUUCCAGAGACCCCAAAAGGAUUUUGUGGACCCCAAAGUGUUCCAGAGACCCCAAAAGAAUUUUAUGGACCCCAAAAGGAUUUUAUGGAUCCCCCAAAGUGUUCCAGAGACCCCAAAAGGAUUUUAUGGACCCCAAAAGGAUUUUAUGGACCCCAAAGUGUUCCAGAGACCCCAAAAGAAUUUUAUGGACCCCAAAAGGAUUUUAUGGAUCCCCCAAAGUGUUCCAGAGACCCCAAAAGGAUUUUAUGGAUCCCCCAAAGUGUUCCAGAGACCCCAAAAGAAUUUUAUGGACCCCAAAGUGUUCAACAGACCCCAAAAGGAUUUUAUGGAUCCCCCAAAAGGAUUUUAUGGAUCCCCCAAAAGGAUUUUAUGGACUCCAAAGGAUUUUAUGGACUCCAAAGGAUUUUGUGGACCCCAAAAGGAUUUUAUGGACUCCAAAGGAUUUUAAGGACCCCAAAAAGGAUUUUAAGGACCCCAAAAAGUUCUCCGGCCCCGAUGGAUUCUAUGGCCCCAAAGGGUUCGACAACCCCACAGCUCGAAGGUCACCGGGGUUUUAUGGCCCUGGGGUUUUAUGGCCCCGAGGUUUUAUGGCCCCCGGGGUUUUAUGGCCCCCGAGGUUUUAUGGCCCCGGGAUUUACACCCCGAUGCGUGAAAGUGCCUCCAUAAAGAUUUGGGAACUUUUAUGGCCUCGGUGCCUUCCUGGGACAGCGAGGGCGGGGUGGGAGCGGGGCGGGGGGAGAGAAAUGGGGGCGGUUCUGGGACCCCCAGGGACCCCCCUGAUCCUAUGGGACCCCCCUGAUCCUAUGGGACCCCCAGGG
rnacentral:lncRNA from 1 species